GCCCGGUGAUGACUAAUUUAUGCUUGUUUGUGAAAAACAUUUGCAGUUGCCGCAUAUUUGCUUUCGCCCUGCCAGGCUUGUGAGAGCUAAUGUUGUUAGAUCCUUACUUGGGAUGUCUGAGGGC
rfam:Triticum aestivum genome assembly, contig: Triticum_aestivum_CS42_TGACv1_scaffold_162772_2DL